AACAAAAUGUAGCUUAAAAAAGCACUUCGCUUACACCGAAAAGACGUAUAUAACACAUACCAUUUU
rnacentral:tRNA from 1 species